rnacentral:rRNA from 1 species
UACGUAGGGGGCAAGCGUUGUCCGGAAUCAUUGGGCGUAAAGAGCGUGUAGGCGGCCUGGUAAGUCCGCUGUGAAAGUCCAGGGCUCAACCCUGGAAUGCCGGUGGAAACUGUCAGGCUCGAGUCCGGAAGAGGCGAGUGGAAUUCCUGGUGUAGCGGUGGAAUGCGCAGAUAUCAGGAAGAACACCAACGGCGAAGGCAGCUCGCUGGGACGGUACUGACGCUGAGACGCGAAAGCGUGGGGAGCGAACAGG